rnacentral:rRNA from 1 species
UACAGAGGGUGCGAGCGUUGUUCGGAAUUAUUGGGCGUAAAGGGCGCGUAGGCGGUGCGGUAAGUCACCUGUGAAAUCUCCCGGCUCAACCGGGAGGGUGCGCCGAAAACUGGGAGACUAGAGUGCGGGAUGGGAGAGUAGAAUUCCUGGUGUAGCGGUGAAAUGCGUAGAUAUCAGGAGGAAUACCGGUGGUGUAGACGGCUCUCUGGACCGCCACUGACGCUGAGACACGAAAGCGUGGGUAGCAAACAGG